GCCGGGCAUGGUGGCGCAUGCCUGUAAUCCCAGCUACUCAGGAGGCUGAGGCAGGAGAAUUGCUUGAACCCAGGAGGUGGAGGUUGCAGUGAGCCAAGAUCGCGCCACUGCACUCCAGCCUCGGUGACAGAGCGAGACUCCGUCUCAA
rnacentral:SRP_RNA from 1 species